AGGCGGAAGCACUUUAAGGAAAACUGAAAUGUGACUCCGUGUAGCCCUUACAAGGCUGAGGUCACAGGUUCAAUCCCUGUUCCGCCUACCA
rnacentral:tRNA from 1 species